rnacentral:rRNA from 1 species
GGGUUGUGAGGUUAAGCGACUAAGCGUACACGGUGGAUGCCCUGGCAGUCAGAGGCGAUGAAGGACGUGCUAAUCUGCGAUAAGCGUCGGUAAGGUGAUAUGAACCGUUAUAACCGGCGAUUUCCGAAUGGGGAAACCCAGUGUGAUUCGUCACACUAUCAUUAACUGAAUCCAUAGGUUAAUGAGGCGAACCGGGGGAACUGAAACAUCUAAGUACCCCGAGGAAAAGAAAUCAACCGAGAUUCCCCCAGUAGCGGCGAGCGAACGGGGAGCAGCCCAGAGCCUGAAUCAGUGUGUGUGUUAGUGGAAGCGUCUGGAAAGGCGCGCGAUACAGGGUGACAGCCCCGUACACAAAAAUGCACAUGCUGUGAGCUCGAUGAGUAGGGCGGGACACGUGGUAUCCUGUCUGAAUAUGGGGGGACCAUCCUCCAAGGCUAAAUACUCCUGACUGACCGAUAGUGAACCAGUACCGUGAGGGAAAGGCGAAAAGAACCCCGGCGAGGGGAGUGAAAAAGAACCUGAAACCGUGUACGUACAAGCAGUGGGAGCACGCUUAGGCGUGUGACUGCGUACCUUUUGUAUAAUGGGUCAGCGACUUAUAUUCUGUAGCAAGGUUAACCGAAUAGGGGAGCCGAAGGGAAACCGAGUCUUAACUGGGCGUUAAGUUGCAGGGUAUAGACCCGAAACCCGGUGAUCUAGCCAUGGGCAGGUUGAAGGUUGGGUAACACUAACUGGAGGACCGAACCGACUAAUGUUGAAAAAUUAGCGGAUGACUUGUGGCUGGGGGUGAAAGGCCAAUCAAACCGGGAGAUAGCUGGUUCUCCCCGAAAGCUAUUUAGGUAGCGCCUCGUGAAUUCAUCUCCGGGGGUAGAGCACUGUUUCGGCAAGGGGGUCAUCCCGACUUACCAACCCGAUGCAAACUGCGAAUACCGGAGAAUGUUAUCACGGGAGACACACGGCGGGUGCUAACGUCCGUCGUGAAGAGGGAAACAACCCAGACCGCCAGCUAAGGUCCCAAAGUCAUGGUUAAGUGGGAAACGAUGUGGGAAGGCCCAGACAGCCAGGAUGUUGGCUUAGAAGCAGCCAUCAUUUAAAGAAAGCGUAAUAGCUCACUGGUCGAGUCGGCCUGCGCGGAAGAUGUAACGGGGCUAAACCAUGCACCGAAGCUGCGGCAGCGACGCUUAUGCGUUGUUGGGUAGGGGAGCGUUCUGUAAGCCUGUGAAGGUGUGCUGUGAGGCAUGCUGGAGGUAUCAGAAGUGCGAAUGCUGACAUAAGUAACGAUAAAGCGGGUGAAAAGCCCGCUCGCCGGAAGACCAAGGGUUCCUGUCCAACGUUAAUCGGGGCAGGGUGAGUCGACCCCUAAGGCGAGGCCGAAAGGCGUAGUCGAUGGGAAACAGGUUAAUAUUCCUGUACUUGGUGUUACUGCGAAGGGGGGACGGAGAAGGCUAUGUUGGCCGGGCGACGGUUGUCCCGGUUUAAGCGUGUAGGCUGGUUUUCCAGGCAAAUCCGGAAAAUCAAGGCUGAGGCGUGAUGACGAGGCACUACGGUGCUGAAGCAACAAAUGCCCUGCUUCCAGGAAAAGCCUCUAAGCAUCAGGUAACAUCAAAUCGUACCCCAAACCGACACAGGUGGUCAGGUAGAGAAUACCAAGGCGCUUGAGAGAACUCGGGUGAAGGAACUAGGCAAAAUGGUGCCGUAACUUCGGGAGAAGGCACGCUGAUAUGUAGGUGAAGUCCCUUGCGGAUGGAGCUGAAAUCAGUCGAAGAUACCAGCUGGCUGCAACUGUUUAUUAAAAACACAGCACUGUGCAAACACGAAAGUGGACGUAUACGGUGUGACGCCUGCCCGGUGCCGGAAGGUUAAUUGAUGGGGUUAGCGGUAACGCGAAGCUCUUGAUCGAAGCCCCGGUAAACGGCGGCCGUAACUAUAACGGUCCUAAGGUAGCGAAAUUCCUUGUCGGGUAAGUUCCGACCUGCACGAAUGGCGUAAUGAUGGCCAGGCUGUCUCCACCCGAGACUCAGUGAAAUUGAACUCGCUGUGAAGAUGCAGUGUACCCGCGGCAAGACGGAAAGACCCCGUGAACCUUUACUAUAGCUUGACACUGAACAUUGAGCCUUGAUGUGUAGGAUAGGUGGGAGGCUUUGAAGUGUGGACGCCAGUCUGCAUGGAGCCGACCUUGAAAUACCACCCUUUAAUGUUUGAUGUUCUAACGUUGACCCGUAAUCCGGGUUGCGGACAGUGUCUGGUGGGUAGUUUGACUGGGGCGGUCUCCUCCUAAAGAGUAACGGAGGAGCACGAAGGUUGGCUAAUCCUGGUCGGACAUCAGGAGGUUAGUGCAAUGGCAUAAGCCAGCUUGACUGCGAGCGUGACGGCGCGAGCAGGUGCGAAAGCAGGUCAUAGUGAUCCGGUGGUUCUGAAUGGAAGGGCCAUCGCUCAACGGAUAAAAGGUACUCCGGGGAUAACAGGCUGAUACCGCCCAAGAGUUCAUAUCGACGGCGGUGUUUGGCACCUCGAUGUCGGCUCAUCACAUCCUGGGGCUGAAGUAGGUCCCAAGGGUAUGGCUGUUCGCCAUUUAAAGUGGUACGCGAGCUGGGUUUAGAACGUCGUGAGACAGUUCGGUCCCUAUCUGCCGUGGGCGCUGGAGAACUGAGGGGGGCUGCUCCUAGUACGAGAGGACCGGAGUGGACGCAUCACUGGUGUUCGGGUUGUCAUGCCAAUGGCACUGCCCGGUAGCUAAAUGCGGAAGAGAUAAGUGCUGAAAGCAUCUAAGCACGAAACUUGCCCCGAGAUGAGUUCUCCCUGACCCUUUAAGGGUCCUGAAGGAACGUUGAAGACGACGACGUUGAUAGGCCGGGUGUGUAAGCGCAGCGAUGCGUUGAGCUAACCGGUACUAAUGAACCGUGAGGCUUAACCUUACAACGCCGAAGGUGUUU